CUCGACGUUGCACUGGAUUACUACUGCACUCGGUUUAGUAGCGGGGCGCCAUUCAUCCUAUGUGAUUUCUUCUUCUCUGUGAUAAGAUGGCGCCCUUUCACCAUAUUCAAUAUUAUGACGUCAAAAUUCUGGAAUCAGCUGUGAUGUGUCAAACAUUAUGGGAAAAAAAGAGAGGUUACAAAUAUAAUCAAAAAUAAU